UGCGAGGUAGAGUAGCUUUGUAGCUCACAAGGCUCAUAACCAUGAGGUCAUGGAUUCAAAUCCCAUCUCCACAA